rnacentral:rRNA from 1 species
AGUGAACGCUGGCGGUAGGCCUAACACAUGCAAGUCGAACGGCAGCACAGUAAGAGCUUGCUCUUACGGGUGGCGAGUGGCGGACGGGUGAGGAAUACAUCGGAAUCUACUUUUUCGUGGGGGAUAACGUAGGGAAACUUACGCUAAUACCGCAUACGACCUACGGGUGAAAGCAGGGGAUCUUCGGACCUUGCGCGAUUGAAUGAGCCGAUGUCGGAUUAGCUAGUUGGCGGGGUAAAGGCCCACCAAGGCGACGAUCCGUAGCUGGUCUGAGAGGAUGAUGAGCCACACGGGAACUGAGACAAGUGCCAGACUACUAAGGGAGGCAGCAGUUGGGAAUAUGGGACAAUGGGCGCAAGCCUGAUCCAGCCAUACCGCGUGGGUGAAGAAGGCCUUCGGGUUGUAAAGCCCUUUUGUUGGGAAAGAAAAGCAGCAGGUUAAUACCCCGCUGUUCUGACGGUACCCAAAGAAUAAGCACCGGCUAACUUCGUG